UACGUAGGGUGCGAGCGUUAAUCGGAAUUACUGGGCGUAAAGCGUGCGCAGGCGGUUUUGCAGGCCGGAUGUGAAAUCCCCGGGCUCAACCUGGGAACUGCAUUUGUGACUGUAGAGCUGGAGUACGGCAGAGGGGGAUGGAAUUCCGCGUGUAGCAGUGAAAUGCGUAGAUAUGCGGAGGAACACCGAUGGCGAAGGCAAUCCCCUGGGCCUGUACUGACGCUCAUGCACGAAAGCGUGGGGAGCAAACAGG
rnacentral:rRNA from 1 species